rnacentral:rRNA from 1 species
UACGUAGGGGGCAAGCGUUGUCCGGAAUUAUUGGGCGUAAAGCGCGCGCAGGCGGUUCUUUAAGUCUGGUGUUUAAGUGCGGGGCUCAACCCCGUGACGCACUGGAAACUGGGGAACUUGAGUGCAGAAGAGGAGAGCGGAAUUCCACGUGUAGCGGUGAAAUGCGUAGAGAUGUGGAGGAACACCAGUGGCGAAGGCGGCUCUCUGGACUGUAACUGACGCUGAGGCGCGAAAGCUAGGGGAGCAAACAGG